GAUGAAGAACGUAGCGAAAUGCGAUACGUAAUGUGAAUUGCAGAAUUCAGUGAAUCAUCGAAUCUUUGAACGCAUAUUGCGCUCUUUGGUAUUCCGAAGAGCAUGCUUGUUUGAGUAUCAGUAAACACCUCAACCUCUUCUUGAUUUUUCAAAAGGAGGGUGGACUUGAGCUAUCCCAACAACCUUUACCGGUCGGCGGGCGGCUUGAAAUGCAGGUGCAGCUGGACUUUUAUCUGAGCUAAAAGCAUAUCUAUUUAGUCCUCGUCAAACAGGAUUAUUACUUUUGCUGCAGCUAACAUAAAGGAUAAUUGUCCUCUUUGCUGACUGAUGCAGGAUUUUACGACACUUUAUGUGUUGUUCAACUCGAUGUCAAAUCAAGUAAGACUACCCGCUGAACUUAAGCAUAUCAAUAAGCGGAGGA
rnacentral:misc_RNA from 1 species